ACACAUUAGGCCUAUAAAUGACCGAAGGCAAGCCAAGCGCAGGAAGAGCUGCCUGACUCAAGAACCACAGGGACUGGACCCUAUGUGUGGAAGAAAAGAAUGCUGCCACUCUAGAAGACAGAACAGGACCAAUCGAUGGGGGGACAGAGUGUGACCUUUGACCCAAGGAAGGAUGGAAUUUCCAAGAAUCACAGCUGUGCCAGCUGUCUGCCCAGUGAGGAACACGUCUUCCAGGGAGGCACUCCAAGGAUGAAGGGUACGUACUGUGCUGUCAAGAAGUUCAUGGACUUCGGGGCUCCAGGCUGGCUAGCAGUUAAAGCACCCCAAGGACGCUUGGACUGUGGGGGUAUGGGGGAAGGGUGGAGCACACGGGAACUGGAGUGAGUGAGCCCUCACCCCUGGCAUCACCGUGAAACCGUCUGUUCAGAGGCUCUGGAAACUCCGAGUGGGCGGGCUCUGUGCUCAGGAUGGAGUCUGCUGAGAUUCUCUCCCUU